rnacentral:rRNA from 1 species
UGGGGAAUUUUCCGCAAUGGGCGAAAGCCUGACGGAGCAAUACCGCGUGAGGGAGGAAGGCUCUUGGGUUGUAAACCUCUUUUCUGGGGGAAGAAGUCCUGACGGUACCCCAGGCAUCAGCAUCGGCUAACUCCGUGCCAGCAGCCGCGGUAAUACGGAGGAUGCAAGCGUUAUCCGGAAUUAUUGGGCGUAAAGCGUCCGCAGGUGGAGCGUCAAGUCUGCUGUCAAAGACCGGAGCUUAUCUCCGGGCAGGCAGUGGAAACUGGCGAACUAGAGUACGGUAGGGGUAGAGGGAAUUCCCAGUGUAGCGGUGAAAUGCGUAGAGAUUGGGAAGAACACCAGUGGCGAAGGCGGCUCACUGGUCCGGUACUGACGCUGAGGUGCGAAAGCGUGGGGAGCAAACAGGAUUAGAUACCCCGGUAGUCC